rnacentral:rRNA from 1 species
AUUGAACGCUGGCGGCAUGCUUUACACAUGCAAGUCGAACGAAAACACGCCGCGCGGUGCUGACGAGCGGUGGACGGGGGCGUAAUGCUACCGAACGUGCCCCGUCCUUGUGGGUCUCUAAUCGCAACGGGAGACAGUACCUCAUACGAUCUAUGGUUUUAAGCCGGGGAGUGUAAUGGCUCGAGCCGUUGGUGCUGCCGCUUACAGAUUGGUUAGUUGGUGGGGUAAAGGCUCACCAAGUCAACGAUUUGUAGCUGAUCUGAGCGGACGAUCGGCCACACUGGGACUGAGACACGGUCCAGACUCCUACGGGAGGCAGCAGUGGGGAAUCUUGGGCAAUGGGCGCAAGCCUGACCCAGCAAUGCCGCGUGCGUGAAGAAGGCCUUCGGGUUGUAAACUUCUUUUGUACGGAACGAACCGGCUCUGGUUAAUACCCGGAGGUAAUGACGGUACCGAAAGAAAAAGCACCGGCUAACUACGUG